rnacentral:rRNA from 1 species
CUACCCAAGUUGCUCACUGCUCUCCGGAGCGGAGGGGCUAAUUAGAGGGACCGCCGCCGCUGAGGCGGAGGAAGGAGGGGGCUACGGCAGGUCAGUAUGCCCCGAAACCCUCGGGCCACACGCGGGCUGCAAUGGUAAGGACAACAGGCUCCGAUUCCGAAAGGAGGAGGCAAUCCCUAAACCUUACCACAGUUAUGAUUGAGGGCUGAAACUCGCCCUCAUGAAUAUGGAAUCCCUAGUAACCGCGUGUCACCAUCGCGCGGUGAAUACGUCCCUGCUCCUUGCACAAA